AAGAUCGGCAUGGUAGUGUUGUUAUGUAGGUUCAUUGCCGUUCUCUAAUAGUGUGUCUGUGUGUCACAUUCUCUGAUGCCAGCGUUCUUGACCUGACAAUGCCAAUCAGUGUCUGUUGACUACGGCUCACGUAACACAACCAUACAAUGGACAUGCACACACACACACACACACACACACACACACACACACACACACACACACACACACACACACACACACACACACACACACACACACACACACACACACACACUCUCUAUAAGUGCAUGGCAUGCUCUCACACAGAGAGGGUGUGUGUUCCUGCAUGUGUCACACCAACAAAGAGGUUAUUCUAUGUGAACGUCUGAAUGAAAAGCACCAAAGAAUGAAUGAUAAUUUAUUCCUGAUGUACGGUUAGGCUUUAUGAAAUGCUGUUCACAUUCCAUUUCUGUCCUUGUUAAUGUCCUCAGUGAGCGUUCGACUUUAUAAACUAAAUAUUGUGUUUCCUCCCUUCAGGCCGUUGAUGAUAAUUACCCAGAAAACCACUAUGUUAUCUUUUCAAGUGCAUGAUGGUAUGUGUAAAAAGCGCGAGGACCUCACGGCUGAUCAGAGGCUCCAUGCUGUAGACUCCAAGCCGUCUCUGAUAGAAUACCUGAGCUACAAUCUGAACUUCCUCAGUAUCCUGGUGGGACCCUGCAGUCACUAUAAAGACUACAUAGACUUUAUAGAGGGGAGACACGUUCAGAGGAGGCUGUCAGGAUCCAACACUGGACAGAAUGGAUAUGAUAAAGUCCCAGAGCCCUCACCUAUGGCUGCUGUCACACGUAAACUGCUGAUCUGUGGUGUGUGCAUGGUUUUGUUCCUGACCCUCACCAAAGCGUUCCCCAUCACAUAUAACGUUGACAGCCAUUUCGUCAACGAGGCACCUUUCCUAACCAGACUGGCGUAUGCCUUCUUCUCUAUACAAGCUGCUAGACCCAAGUUCUACUUCGCAUGGACUUUAGCGGAUGCCAUCAACAAUGCAGCAGGUUAUGGUUUUAAAGGUGUGGAUGAAGCUGGACAGGUAUCCUGGGACCUCAUCUCCAACAUCAGCAUCUGGGAGAUUGAGACAGCAACUAGUUUCAAGAAGUUCAUAGAUAACUGGAAUAUUCAGACUGGUGUUUGGCUCAAAACUGUGUGUUACGACCGUGCUCCCCGUUACCCCACAGCCCUGACCUUCAUCCUGUCAGCUCUAUGGCAUGGAGUUUACCCCGGAUACUACUUCACCUUUAUUACUGCUAUACCCAUCACACUGGCAGCGAGAGCUGUGAGUACCAUUAUUACUGCUGUACCCAUCACACUGGCAGCGAGAGCUGUGAGUACCAUUAUUACUGCUGUACCCAUCACACUGGCAGCGAGAGCUGUGAGUACCAUUAUUACUGCUGUACCCAUCACACUGGCAGCGAGAGCUGUGAGUACCAUUAUUACUGCUAUACCCAUCACACUGGCAGCGAGAGCUGUGAGUACCAUUAUUACUGCUAUACCCAUCACACUGGCAGCGAGAGCUGUGAGUACCAUUAUUACUGCUGUACCCAUCACACUGGCAGUGCUGUGAGUACCAUUAUUACUGCUGUACCCAUCACACUGGCAGCGAGAGCUGUGAGUACCAUUAUUACUGCUGUACCCAUCACACUGGCAGUGCUGUGAGAACCAUUAUUACUGCUGUACCCAUCACACUGGCAGCGAGAGCUGUGAGUACCAUUAUUACUGCUGUACCCAUCACACUGGCAGCGAGCUGUGAGUACCAUUAUUACUGCUGUACCCAUCACACUGGCAGCGAGAGCUGUGAGUACCAUUAUUACUGCUGUACCCGUCACACUGGCAGCGAGAGCUGUGAGUACCAUUAUUACUGCUGUACCCAUCACACUGGCAGCGAGAGCUGUGAGUACCAUUAUUACUGCUGUACCCAUCACACUGGCAGAUAGAGCUGUGAGUACCUUUAUCACUGCUAUACCCAUCACACUGACAGGGCUGUGAGUACCAUUAUUGCUGCUGUACCCAUCACACUGGCAGGGCUGUGAGUAGCAUUACUACUGCUGUACCCAUCACACUAGCAGUGCUGUGAGUACCAUUAUUACUGCUGUACACAUCACACUGACAGAGCUGUGAGUACCAUUAUUACUGCUGUACCCAUCACACUGACAGAGCUGUGAGUACCAUUAUUACUGCUGUACCCAUCACACUGGCAGCGAGAGCUGUCCGUAAGAAUGUCCGUCAGUAUUUCCUGUCCUCUUAUCCUCUGAAGCUUGUCUAUGACGUAGUGACCUGGGCAGCUACUCAGCUGUGUAUCUGCUACACUGUCAUGCCCUUCCUACUGCUGGCAGUAGGACCUACCAUGCAGUACUACAG